AUGGCUUUUGUAGACAAUUUUGCUACAAGUGAAAUUUGAGGUAUAUUAGUAUACACCUAUAAUGACUAUCUGCUCUAACCUUAAUAUAUGUAUAUUUUUACCAUGUUUUGCCUCACAACCAAUUUAAGAUUAAUAAGUCAGUAUAUAUGUAAGACUCAGAUCGACGUCCAGUCUCUAAUCGACUUCCGUUCCUCAAAUCGACGUCCAAAUCUGACUUCACAAUAAAAUAUCCUUCCAAAUCGACAGCCAAUUUUAUACCUAUCUAAUCGACGUCCAUGUUUUGGCUUCUCUAAUCGACGUCAAAUUUUUAGCUUCUCUAAUCAAGGUCUGUUUUUUGGACACCGAAUACAAAAUUGACCAGAACCGACAGC
rnacentral:lncRNA from 1 species